rnacentral:rRNA from 1 species
CUACGGAGGGAGCAAGCGUUAUUCGGAAUCACUGGGCGUAAAGGACGCGUAGGCGGGUUGGUAAGUCAGAUGUGAAAUCCUACAGCUUAACUGGAGAACUGCAUUUGAAACUGCUAACCUAGAGUAUGGGAGGGGGAGAUUGAAUUAGUGGUGUAGGGGUAAAAUCCGUAGAUAUCACUAGGAAUACCGAAAGCGAAGGCGAUCUCCUGGAACAUAACUGACGCUAAGGCGUGAAAGCGUGGGGAGCAAACAGGAUUAGAUACCCUAGUAGUCC